GAGAAUGCCGGUGUGAGUAGCGAAAGACGGGUGAGAAUCCCGUCCACCGAUUGACUAAGGUUUCCAGAGGAAGGCUCGUCCGCUCUGGGUUAGUCGGGUCCUAAGCUGAGGCCGACAGGCGUAGGCGAUGGAUAACAGGUUGAUAUUCCUGUACCACCUAUAAUCGUUUUAAUCGAUGGGGGGACGCAGUAGGAUAGGCGAAGCGUGCGAUUGGAUUGCACGUCUAAGCAGUAAGGCUGAGUAUUAGGCAAAUCCGGUACUCGUUAAGGCUGAGCUGUGAUGGGGAGAAGACAUUGUGUCUUCGAGUCGUUGAUUUCACACUGCCGAGAAAAGCCUCUAGAUAGAAAAUAGGUGCCCGUACCGCAAACCGACACAGGUAGUCAAGAUGAGAAUUCUAAGGUGAGCGAGCGAACUCUCGUUAAGGAACUCGGCAAAAUGACCCCGUAACUUCGGGAGAAGGGGUGCUCUUUAGGGUUAACGCCCAGAAG
rnacentral:rRNA from 1 species